rnacentral:lncRNA from 1 species
GGGUUCGUUUAUUAAAUGGGCUAUUUUUUCAACUCAAGCUUCGGCUCGGGGUUACGGACAUUAUAUGGGUGUUAUCUUUUUUUUGGUUCACAGGCUGCUGAAUAGGUUGGUUUGUUUUUGUUGUAGGUAUGUAAAAAGUUACCAGGAAAGAGAGAAGUUGGAACACAGGACAAGAGUUUGGUGAAGGAGGGGCAGUAUGUUACUUUUGUUAAAAGCGGAGCCCAACCAAUUUGGCGUCAAGAGUCUACUCACC